rnacentral:rRNA from 1 species
UACAGAGGUCUCAAGCGUUGUUCGGAUUCAUUGGGCGUAAAGGGUGCGUAGGCGGCGCGGUAAGUCGGGUGUGAAAUCUCUGGGCUUAACCCAGAAACUGCCGUUGAUACUAUCGGUCUUGAAUUCGGUCGAGGUUGGCGGAAUGUGUCGUGUAGCGGUGAAAUGCUUAGAUAUGACACAGAACACCGAUUGCGAAGGCAGCUAGCUAGACCGACAUUGACGCUGAGGCACGAAAGCGUGGGGAUCAAACAGG